rnacentral:rRNA from 1 species
UCGUGAGACAGUUCGGUCUCUAUCUAUCGUGGGCGCAGGAGUCUUGAGUGGAUCUGUCACUAGUACGAGAGGACCGUGAUGGACAGGCCUCCGGUUUACCGGUUGUCCCGCCAGGGGCACCGCCGGGUAUCCGCGCCUGGAUGGGAUAAGCGCUGAAAGCAUCUAAGUGCGAAGCCCGCCGCGAGAUGAGGACUCCCCUGAGGGUCGUCAAAGACGAUGACGUUGAUAGGGCGCAGGUGUAAAGGCGGCGACGCCAAAGCCGAGCGCUACUAAUUGCCCGAGUCUUCGUGGC